UAUGCACGCUGGCGGCGUGCCUAAUACAUGCAAGUCGAGCGAACGGACGAGAAGCUUGCUUUUCUGAUGUUAGCGGCGGACGGGUGAGUAACACGUAGAUAACCUACCUAUAAGACUGGGAUAACUUCGGGAAACCGGAGCUAAUACCGGAUAAUAUUUUGAACCGCAUGGUUCAAAAGUGAAAGACGGUCUUGCUGUCACUUAUAGAUGGAUCCGCGCUGCAUUAGCUAGUUGGUAAGGUAACGGCUUACCAAGGCAACGAUGCAUAGCCGACCUGAGAGGGUGAUCGGCCACACUGGAGCUGAGACACGGUCCAGACUCCUACGGGAGGCAGCAGUAGGGAAUCUUCCGCAAUGGGCGAAAGCCUGACGGAGCAACGCCGCGUGGGUGAUGAAGGUCUUCGGCUCGUAAAACUCUGUUAUUAGGGAAGAACAUAUGUGUAAGUAACUGUGCACAUCUUGACGGUACCUAAUCAGAAAGCCACGGCUAACUACGUG
rnacentral:rRNA from 1 species